rnacentral:rRNA from 1 species
UACGAAGGGGGCAAGCGUUGUUCGGAAUUACUGGGCGUAAAGCGCACGUAGGCGGCAUUGUAAGUCGGAUGUGAAAGCCCGGGGCGCAACCUCGGAACUGCCUUUGAUACUGCCAGGCUGGAGUCCCGGAGAGGUGGGCGGAAUUCCUGGUGUAGAGGUGAAAUUCGUAGAUAUUCGGAGGAACACCAGUGGCGAAGGCGGCCCUCUGGUCAGGUACUGACGCUGAGGUGCGAAAGCGUGGGGAGCAAACAGG